GAUGAACGCUGGCGGCGUGCUUAACACAUGCAAGUCGAACGAAGCACCUUGAUUUGAUUCUUCGGAUGAAGAUCUUGGUGACUGAGUGGCGGACGGGUGAGUAACGCGUGGGUAACCUGCCUCAUACAGGGGGAUAGCAGUUAGAAAUGACUGCUAAUACCGCAUAAGACCACAGCACCGCAUGGUGCAGGGGUAAAAACUCCGGUGGUAUGGGAUGGACCCGCGUCUGAUUAGGUAGUUGGUGGGGUAACGGCCUACCAAGCCGACGAUCAGUAGCCGACCUGAGAGGGUGACCGGCCACAUUGGGACUGAGACACGGCCCAAACUCCUACGGGAGGCAGCAGUGGGGAAUAUUGCACAAUGGGGGAAACCCUGAUGCAGCGACGCCGCGUGAGCGAUGAAGUAUUUCGGUAUGUAAAGCUCUAUCAGCAGGGAAGAAAAUGACGGUACCUGACCAAGAAGCACCGGCUAAAUACGUG
rnacentral:rRNA from 1 species